rnacentral:rRNA from 1 species
UACAGAGGUCCCAAGCGUUGUUCGGAUUCAUUGGGCGUAAAGGGUGCGUAGGUGGCGCCGUAAGUCGGGUGUGAAAUUUCGGAGCUUAACUCCGAAACUGCAUUCGAUACUGCGGUGCUUGAGGACUGGAGAGGAGACUGGAAUUCAUGGUGUAGCAGUGAAAUGCGUAGAGAUCAUGAGGAAGACCAGUGGCGAAGGCGGGUCUCUGGACAGUUCUUGACACUGAGGCACGAAGGCCAGGGGAGCAAACGGG